UACGUAGGGUGCGAGCGUUAAUCGGAAUUACUGGGCGUAAAGGGUGCGUAGGCGGUUUGAUAAGUCUGAUGUGAAAUCCCCGGGCUCAACCUGGGAACGGCAUUGGAGACUGUCAAGCUAGAGUGCGUCAGAGGGGGGUAGAAUUCCACGUGUAGCAGUGAAAUGCGUAGAGAUGCGGCGGAACACCGAUGGCGAAGGCAGCCCCCUGGGCUGAGAUUGACGCUCAGGCACGAAAGCGUGGGGAGCAAACAGG
rnacentral:rRNA from 1 species